AAGUCGAACGGCAGCACAGCAGAGCUUGCUCUGUGGGUGGCGAGUGGCGGACGGGUGAGUAAUGCAUCGGGACCUACCUAGACGUGGGGGAUAACGUAGGGAAACUUACGCUAAUACCGCAUACGUCCUACGGGAGAAAGCAGGGGACCUUCGGGCCUUGCGCGGUUAGACGGACCGAUGUUCGAUUAGCUUGUUGGUGAGGUAAUGGCUCACCAAGGCGACGAUCGAUAGCUGGUCUGAGAGGAUGAUCAGCCACACUGGAGCUGAGACACGGUCCAGACUCCUACGGGAGGCAGCAGUGGGGAAUAUUGGACAAUGGGCGCAAGCCUGAUCCAGCAAUUUUUUUUGUGUGAAGAAGGCCUUCGGGUUGUAAAGCACUUUUAUCAGGAGCGAAAUACUACCGGCUAAUACCCGGUGGGGCUGACGGUACCUGAGGAAUAAGCACCGGCUAACUUCGUGCCAGCAGCCGCGGUAA
rnacentral:rRNA from 1 species